CCUGGCCUGCUGCUGUCCAUGGGGUCACAAAGAGUUGGACAUGACUGAGCUACUGAACUGAACUGAGGUCAGAUAUGACUGUGGUGUGAUUUUUAACAUCACCACCAGAGGGCGGGGCUUCCUUCAUAUGCGAUUCCUUUUUGUAUUCAGGGGCUGGUUUGACUUGCCUCCUCUGUAGUCACAAGACAGAUGACUGCUGCUGUGCAGAAAGGCAUUCCCAUUUUCUGAGUGAGGAGCUUCUGUAACAUCCAGCUGAAGACUACCUUUGUUAGAUUUGAUGUUUCUAGGGAACAAGGACUGUCGCCAGAAUGUUUUCUGCCCCUCACUCAGUUCUGGUCAUCUUCUUAAUACUUGGAGGGACCAAUGGUGACUCAGUGAACCAGAGAGAAGGCCCAGUGACUGUCUCAGAGGGGGCUCUCAUGACCCUGAACUGCACUUACCAGACCACGUAUUCAGAUCCCUAUCUUUUUUGGUACAUCCAGCGUCUCAACAAAGCUCCUCAACUCCUCUUGAAGGGCUCAAUGACAAACCAGAGGCCCGAGCAUGAAGGUUUUCAGGCCACUCUUGAUAAGAGGGACAGCUCCUUCCACCUGCAGAAACGGGCAGUGCAAGCAUCAGACUCGGCUGUGUACUACUGUGCUCUGAGGGACACAGUGAUGGAGGGCUGCAGGGGGAGCUGAGCACAAACCCAAGGCGAGCAGGAGGCUGACGUCAGGAAGACGUAUAUUCUCUCCUUGA